rnacentral:rRNA from 1 species
CACGGGUGAGUAACACGUGAGCAACCUGCCGGGAAGCCCGGGAUAGCCCUCCGAAAGGAGGAUUAAUACCGGAUGUGGCCACCCUGCGAUUGCAGGGGAAGCUAAAGGAUUUAUUCACUUCCCGAGGGGCUCGCGGCCCAUCAGCUUGUUGGUGAGGGUAACGGCCCACCAAGGCGACAACGGGUAGCUGGUCUGAGAGGAUGGUCAGCCACACUGGAACUGAGACACGGUCCAGACACCUACGGGUGGCAGCAGUCGAGAAUCAUUCGCAAUGGGGGAAACCCUGACGAUGCGACGCCGCGUGGAGGAUGAAGGCCUUAGGGUUGUAAACUCCUGUCAAGAGGGAAUAAGCAAGUGAAGGUACCUCUAGAGGAAGGGGCGGCUAAUUCCGUGCCAGCAGCCGCGGUAACACGGAAGCCCCGAGCGUUGUUCGGAUUCAUUGGGCGUAAAGGGUGCGUAGGCGGCGCGGAAAGUCCGGCGUGAAAGGCAGGGGCUCAACCUCUGGACUGCGUUGGAUACUUCCGUGCUUGAGGACUGGAGGGGAGACUGGAAUUCACGGUGUAGCAGUGAAAUGCGUAGAUAUCGUGAGGAAGACCGGUGGCGAAGGCGAGUCUCUGGACAGAUCCUGACGCUGAGGCACGAAGGCUGGGGGAGCGAACAGGAUUAGAUACCCUGGUAGUCCCAGCAGUAAACGAUGUGAGCUUGAUGUGGGGGGAUUCGACCCCUUCCGUGUCGAAGCUAACGCGAUAAGCUCACCGCCUGAGGAGUACGGCCGCAAGGCUAAAACUCAAAGAAAUUGACGGGGACCCGCACAAGCGGUGGAGUAUGUGGCUUAAUUCGAUGCAACGCGAAGAACCUUACCUGGCCUUGACAUGCAUUGUGUCGUCGGUGAAAGCCGGCUAGUCCUGGAAACAGGACGCUUUGCACAGGUGCUGCAUGGCUGUCGUCAGCUCGUGUCGUGAGAUGUUGGGUUAAGUCUCGCAUNCAGCGCAACCCUUGUGGUCAGUUACUAACCGGCUUAGCCGGAGGACUCUGGCCAGACUGCCCUGUCAAACGGGGAGGAAGGUGGGGACGACGUCAAGUCAGUAUGGC